GGGCCGACGGACUGACUGAGGGCCGUGCCGGGCCGCGGGGGCUGUGGCCCAGGCCAGGUUGGGGGGGGGCAAGCUCCUCAGGGAGCCUCGGGGAGAUCCCCCGGGCUGGGGCUGCUCGAUCAGGCUUCACCCCUCCCCUGAUCUUCGCGUCUCACCCCACCACCUUCCCGCAAAAAUAAGAAAAUAAAGCGAAGCCAAUCCUAACAGUUCUCAGAAAUCCAUCUUUUCAGUGUUUCUCCUUUCAUCUUUCUUAAUCCAUUCCUUUCCUCAGACAUUUCAUCGGCUGAUUUGUUACUUUUUCAUAUCCUCCUCAGCUUCAGAUUAUUUCUAAUUAAAGAGAAAAUAGGCCCAGAUUCUGGCUAACAUUACCCAACUAGUUCUCGCUUUCCUUCUCGCGAUCCUGCGCACCUCUCCCACCCCCCCACCCCCGCAAAAAAAAAAAAAAAAAGAAAAGAAAAAUUUCCGCCUUCGACUUGUGAGGGGGGUUGACUAAAAAUGGGAACGUGAGGUUUUAAUACUCAGAUAGUCCCCCCGACAACUUCUCAAUCGGCCUGUUACCUAGUUAUCCCGGUAGCUUGUGCGUGGAUAUUGAUGUUUAGGCCUUUCCUCCAGCUGCCUGUGUUUGGGGUUAAUCUCGUAAUUGACGUCAGUGCUUUGUUCCUUCUACUUUGCUGUUCCUUCCACUCUUUGAGAAUGGAUCAUGGAGUACAGGAGUUUGGGGAGUAACCUUAUUGCCUUUUCGUAUACAAACAACAUUAUUUACAGAAAGUGGAAGUACAAAUCUGAAGUGUUUGUGUAUGGAGUUCAAGGCGAAGAGUCCGAUUUAGGGUUCUUGUAGUUUUGUCACUUGUAAUUCAGAAUUAUGCGGUUUCCUCCCUGCUGGCCAUAUGGAAAUUUCAAACUAAGGCUAGUCUCUUUUCCAUUGACCAGUGUUUUUCUUGAUGGAAUCUAAGCUAUAGGUGACUGUGAAUAGACUGUAAAUGUGACAUAAAAUGUGUGCUGUUUUUAGGGCUCGUGUCAAUAGCCCAAAGCUUCAUUUCUAUAUUGAUUCCGCACUUUAUAAAGUGCUUUUUAAAACUUAACUGACCUUUAACUUAUCAAAAUUGAAAUAUUUAUGAGAACUUUCUUAAUUUGGGGUUUGAUAAAGAGUCUUUGUGGUCUGUGAGUCUGCCUAGAAUCAUCUUUGGUCAUAUGUGCAUAAAGAAGUGUUGGCAAGUGGCCACUUGGUUUUCGACAAAGCUGGCUUCUUUAAAUUUCUCGGGUUCCUUUUCCUUAUUCAUCACUGCAUCUUUCAGCCCCUAAACAUAAGAAAAAUUCCCAAUAAAUUAUUUUAAGUUAUCUUUCAGAGUUAACUUACUAAAAACCUGGACCAGUCAAAUUUUUCUUUUUUUAGUAUCAGCAAUUUCAUUCAAUUUGUGGUGGUUUGCACGCUGGCGAUUUUGGUUUUUGUUAGCUCUGUAUGAACAGCAGGCAAAUUUUACUUUAAAUAAAAUUUUGCUUCAAGCGGGGGACAAGGUAGGGUGUCUGAAAAAAGAGCUUAGCUGUGUUAAUUGGAACAUGUUCACAAUUUGGGAAUGUAAGGUGAAACCGUAAUUAAGAAUUCUUAAAGAUAGACUAAUUUUGUUCUGAGUUACUUGCUACUUGUCAGAUUCUCACAUUCAGGUUUAUAUAUUCUCUUCUGUGUACCCUUGAGUUAUUGUACCUUUUUCUAACAAUAUAUUCUGCAGCCGGGCCUGGUGGUUCAUGUUUGUAAUCCUAGCUUUGAGAGGCCAGGGUGGGCGGAUCACCUGAGGUCAGUCUGGCCAACAUGGUGAAACCCCAUCUCUACUAAAAAUACAAAAAUUAGCCAGGCAUGAUGGUGCACACCUGUAGUCCCAGCUACUCCAGAGGCUGAGGCAUGAGCAUCAAAUUGGCUAGGCAUGGUGGCACAUGCCUCUAGUACCAGCUACUCCAGAGGCUGAGGCAUGAGAAUUGCUUGAACUGGGAGGUAAGGGUUGCAAUGAGCAGCGAUCACACCAUUGCACUCCAGCCUGGGUAAUGCCUCAGAACAAUCAAAUGGAAGCCCACUAUAUUUUCUGCAUUGUAAUUUUCUUUUUCCCCCGUGUCUUGCAAAUACUGAGGGGUGCAUAAUUUUCUUAUAGAGCUGUUAUAGGGUCUUUGAGCAAGUAUCAUAUUUAUCCCUCUCUUUAUCUUUCUCAGUAUUUUACUCAAUUAUUAGAUUGAAUUUGAAUGUGAGAAUAUUUUGAACUUGAAAUUGUUCUAUCAAGUUAUCUAAGAUUUCACGAAAAGGUAAUGUGAAGAAAGGUGUAUGAGCGAAGGAUCAGUACUUGAAAGGGAAAAACAUAGCUUCAGAAGAUGAGACAGAAGAUGAAGCUUUCUAAAAGUUUUGCAUUUUGCCUUUUUUGCGAAGGUAAGGUAAAUGUCAUAGUUUUAUAUGUAACUGAGAGGAACAAAUAGGUAUUUCUUCUUUCAUAUCCAUCUACUGGUUUAGAAUGGAGUUGAAAAUCUGUGAGGACUUUUCUUUGUGAUAUUUUUAAUAAAAUCAAAGAGGUGUUCUUAAGUAUUGAGGGCACACCUGGACAAUGACCCAGAAGUACAACAUGUACUAUAAAAAAAUUGAUGACUUAGUUUUUUUUACUUCAGCUUUAUUCUACAGAUAUCUCACUAUAAAGACUUUUCUAUAUGAUAUAAAGGUUCCCAGCUGUCCUCAUCCUUAUAUUUUACCCAUUCCCUUAUUCAUUUCCUCUGAUAAGUUGGAAUAAUUGUAUUUGAUUUCUGGGAGGGUGUUAGCUAGUCUCAGUUAUUGUGAAAUACGGUGUAACUAGUGACUAAGGACUGCAUAAAGCUAACCUGACCUGUUACCUUGCUUUUUUCUUUGGUUUAAGAAAAGCACUCCUACUUGUUAACUUCCUGUAUAUAACCCUCUCGGUUAUUUGAAGUGAUACUCUAGUACAUGGAAGAGGGCAAUAAUACCUGUUUCAGUUACUGAGUUUUGGCACAUCAUCUGCAUUCCUAUUUGUCUUGAGGUUCAUUUUCACUGGCAUCAUAUCAUGAAAAUUUUAAUGAUACUGGGCACAGAAAAUAUAUCAAAUUCAAUUCCAGAGUAUUCCAGAACAUUUAAAUAACAGAACUACCUAUUCUAUUUUUGAAGAAAAAUAUCUUAUUUAACUACCUGCUUUAUCAGCUAUUCUUUAUUAAAAAAAUCUGUAACCUGAGGAAUGUUCUGACAGAAGGCAUUUUAUGUAACUUUAUCUCUCGUGGAGUACUUAAUGAACUGUGUUGGUGGGUUUUAGGCAGGGAAUCAUGGCUUAUUAGUGGGUACUAUUUUAAACUAAUUACUUCAACAAUCGUUUCCUAGGUCAGGUAAAAGAACUUCAUCUUUUUUUUCCCCAAGGUUGUUGGGUAGGAGAAAUCAGGGACUGACAUGAAUAGAUUGCAUUGAAAAGCCAGUAUGGUUUGAUUAUCCAGAGAUUAUAAUGAUCUGUUUGGGGACUGGGCUCCCUGGGGUUGCUUUGGGCCUAAUAACUCUCCCAGGAUUUUGUCAGUUUGGAGUUGCCUAGUGGGUUAUGACUUUUCCUUUUCAUGUCAUCAUUAGGGAAGGGACAGUUUUAUGGAGAGGUGAGUACCAGCCAACACUCUACAGAGACACACCUUCUUACCUUUUUGCAGUUGCUAAUCGGAAUAUUAUUUCUCCUAUCUUGUUUCUUACCUGUUAAAAUUUCACCAUUUUUAAAGGCCUAAUUCUCAUUCCAUUGCCUUCUUAAAGUUUUCCUUGAUUCCUCACCCCACUCCAGUUGUGAUCUGCUUCCUUUCAAUCUCUGCAUUGCUUUGUAGCGCCCCCCACCCCCCGCCUUUUUUUUUUUUGUCAUCCAGGCUGGAGUGCAGUGGUGUGAUCUUGGCUCAUUGCAACGUCCGCUUCCUAGGCUCAAGCGAUUUUCGUGCCUUCGCCUCCCAAGUAGCUGGGACUACAGGUGUGCACCACCAUGCCCUGCUUAUUUUUUUUGUAUUUUUUGUAGAAAUGGAGUUUUGCCCUGUUGCCCAGGCUGGUGUACCUCUUUUAAUUAUUUGUUAUGAAGCUACUAUGGGACUAUAGCCUGCUGAGUAGCAUCAUGAAAAAUGUAUUAGGAAAGGUACUAGUAAAAGAAGGACUGUAAGUGUUGCAAAUCUCAUUAUAUAUUUCUAAAAGAUAAGGAUUAAAACAAUAAUCACCAUAUUAUACACUAAAAAAAUGUAAUGCUAAUUCCAGCUGGGCACCAUGGCUCACACCUGUAAUCCCAGCAUUUUGGGAAACCAAGGCAGGCGGAUCACAAGGUCAGGACUUUAAGACCAGCCUGGCCAAUAUGGUAAAACCCCAUCUCUACCAAAAAUACAAAAAUUAGCUGGGCGUGGUGGUGGGUGCCUGUAGUUCCAGCUACUCUGGAGGCUGAGGUAGGAGAAUUGCUUGAACCUGGGAGGUGGAGGUUGUAGCCUGGACGACAGAGCGAGAGUCUGCCUCAAAAAAAAAAAGGCCAGGCACGGUGGCUCACACCUAUAAUCCCAGCACUUUGGGAGGCUGAAGCAGGUGAAUCACAAGGUCAGGAGUUUGAGACCAGCCUGACCAACAUGGUGAAACCCCAUCUCUACUAAAAAUACAAAAAUUAGCUGGGUGUGGUGGCAUGCAACUGUAACCCCAGCUACUCAGGAGGCUGAAGCAGGAGAAUCGCUUGAAGCCAGGAGGCAGAGGUUGCAGUGAGCCGAGAUUGUACCACUGCACUCCAGCCUGGGCAACAGAGCAAGACUCUGUCUCAAAAAAAAAAAUUAAUGCUCAUUUCUUAAUAUCAUCAGUAUCCAGUUAAGUGUUUACAUUUCACUGAUUAUAGUUUUUAUAUUGUUUUUACAAUUCGUAGGAAAUAUAAUCCAAAUAUGGUCUGUAUAUGUUACAUUGGGUUUAGCUGCAUCUCAACCCUCUUUUUUUUUUUUUUUAAUCUGUAAGUUUUUCUUAUAGAAAACUGGCCAGGAAAGUCAGAUUUCAAUGUCCAUAAAUCAAGUUUUACUGGGGCCGGGCAUGGUGGCUCACGCCUGUAAUCCUAGCAUUUUGGGAGGCCAAUGUGGGUGGAUCACCUGAGGUCAGGAGUUCAAGACCAGCCUGGCCAUCAUGGUGAAACCCCAUCUUUAAAAAAAAUAAAGUUUUAUUGGAACACAGAUAGUACACCUGUUUGUUUAUGUAUUGUCUGUGGCUGCUUUUGCUGUUGCAAUGGCAGAAUUUAUUAAUUGUGACUAUAUGGCCUGCCAAACCUGAAAUAUUUACUGUGAAAAACAUUUCUUGAGUCCUGCCUUAGCAGAUCAAAUAGGCCUUAGUGCAUACUUGGGUUUCAGGAUUACCUUAGGGUUGAGCAGUUAGUUACAAGAUCCCUAUUUACUGUGGUGGCUAUUAGGGUUUUUUGUUUGUAGAAUAUGUAUAUGUGUAUAAUAUAUACAUUUAUAUAUUAUAUUACAUAUAUUGCAUAUAACAUAUAUCAUGUGCCUUGUAUAUACUAUGAUGUUUAGUAUAUAUUAUAGUAUGUAUUAUAUAUAUUACAUAUGCUGUGUGUGUGUGUGUGUGUGUGUGUGUGUGUGUGUGUGUUUGAGACGGAGUUUCGCAGUUGUUACCCAGACUGGAGUGCAAUGGCACGAUCUCGGCUCACCGCAACCUCUGCCUUCUGGGUUCAAGCAAUUCUUCUGCCUCAGCCUCCCAGGUAGCUGGGACUACAGGCGUGCACCACCAUGCCCAGCUAAUUUUUGUAUUUUUAGUAGAGACGGGAUUUCACCUUGUUGACCAGGAUGGUCUUGAUCUCUUGACCUCGUGAUCCACCUGCCUCGGCCUCCCAAAGUGCUGGGAUUAUAGGCGUGAGCCACCAUGCCUGGACAUAUAUAUAUAUUUUUUGAAACAAGAGUCUUGCUCUGUCACCCAGACUGGAGUGCAAUGGCACAGUCUCUGCUCACUGCAACCUCGAACUCCCAGGUUCAGAUGAUUCUCCUGCCUCAGCCUUCCAAAUAGUUGGGAAUACAGGUGUAUGCCACCAUACCCAGCUAAUUUUUAUAUUUUUAGUAGAGAUGGGGCUCCACUAUGUUAGCCAGGAUGGUCUUGAUCUCUUGACCUAGCGAUCCCCCCCACUUUGGCCUCCCAAAGUGCUGGGAAGGCAUGAGCCACUGCGCCUGGCCCAUAUAGUAUAUAUUAUAUGUAGUAUAUAUAUAUUACAUGUAUGUAUAAUAUAUAUGUAAUAUACUCUGCUGUAUAUUAUAUAUACUAUAUACAUAAUACAUAUUGCAUAUGUGUGUUAUAUAUUAUAUGUACAAUAUAAUUUAGUAUACUAUUCAGGAUCAGAUUCUCAUAGUGAUAUGGACAGGAGGCAGGGAAAGAAUGGCUAGAAGAGGGUGGGGUCCCUGGUGAGAGCCCCUCAAGCCUGGACCUGUGGCCCUAAAUAAGAACUUCACAUCCCUGUUUUCCUGCCUGAGUUUUGCCUUUUCCAUAACGACCCUGGCCUGCCAAACGCACCCCGCUCUGUACCCAUAGAAACCCCAUGCUCCACUAGCAGAGGAGCAGAGUGGUAUGGCACAGGAGGAGAGAAGAGAAGAAGCAUCUGCAUGUCGAGAGGAGAAGAGACAGCUGGACACCAGAGACUAUGGGUUGGAGAGGAUUUCAGCCAGGGACAGCUGAGCUCCAGGGGAGGGUUAUCUUCCCACUCCAUUCCUUUUCCAGCUCCCCAUCCUGCUGAGAGUCACUUCUCCCACCCAGUAAAAUUUCUGCAUUCGCCAUCCUUCAAGUUCUUGUGACCUGAUUCUUCCUGGAUGCUGGACAAGAACCUGGGUACCAAGAGAGCAGGGUGUAAAAGGAUAUCAUCCUGACCUUCUGCUGAGCUGGUUUAACUCUUAGCCAUCUGUGGACAGCAAACAAUAAAACAGCAUUGUUUGUAACACACACCCUCUGGGGCUCCAGAGGUCGUGGGCAACCACCCCUAGAUGCUGCCGUGGGGGCUGGUUUAUUCCUCCUGGCACCCAAAGGCUCCUGUACCCACUCCCCCUCCUGCAAAGGGUAGGAGCAUGGUGGCUGAGUAAACAAGCCACCUCUGUCACAAGUCACAUGAUGGGGUCAAGCGAACUCUCCUGUCUCAAUAGGAGCUCAAAAACUGUGCAUGUGAGGGAUUAAGUUGCAUACUCCUGAGAAUCUAACUAAUGCCUGAUGAUCUGAGGUGGAAUGGUUUUAUUUCAAAAUCAUCUCCCUGCAACCCUAUCCAUCCAUGGAAAAAUUUUAUCUUCUGUAAAACUGGUCCCUGGUGCCAAAAAGGUUGGGGACUGCCUGUCUACAUGAUUUUCCUGAAACUGGAAUAAGCACCACAUGUUCAGGAAGCCCACAGAAAGGCCCUUGGAACUGGAAGGGACUGGUAGAAAGUAUGAGAUGAAUCUGAUGAGAGAGACAAGAGUCAGAUCAAGUGGAAUGUUUUAAGCCCUGUUGAGGAGUUUAAAGUUUAUCUUCAGGUAAAUGGAAAGCUUAUUUAAAAAUUUUAAGCAGGAGUUAGGCAAUUUGACCUGAUUCGUGUCUUAAAAAGAUUACUUUGGCUGCUGUAUAGCAUAUAGAUUAAAGAGAGACCAAGGGAAAUAGAAUUCCAAUAAAAAGGCUGUAGCAUUUAUUCAAGCCAAAGAUAAAAUGUGGUGUGUUUUGAAUGGUGGCAGUAGAAACAAGUGAGCAGGGAGAGUCAAAAUUUAUUUUAGAGGUUAUGGUGAUGGAUUGGAUUUGGAGGAAGGUUGAAGGAAGAAUUCAAAAGUGGUUGGAUGGAUGCACUACCAUUAGGAUGAGGAUCACUGGAGAAGAAGUGGUUGAUGGUAAGGGAAAGUAGAUCAGAAACUUAAUUUUAGGUGUAUUAAGAUUGAGCUUUUUGGGGCUGGGCAUGGUGACUCAUUACAAAGUUCUUGUAAUCCCAGUACUUUGGGAGGCUGAGGUGGUAGGAUUACUUGAGGCCAGGAGUUUGAGACUGGCUUGGGUAACACAGUGAGAUCUUUAGAUUUCUUAGAUAGCCAAAGGACAUUGUUAAACGGGUCCCUGGAUGUGUGGUUUUGUAUUUUAGAAAAGAAAGUGUCAUGUGGAGCAUAUGUGGGCAUUCUGGUUGUAGGCAUAGAGUUGUUUUUUGAGACAGUCUCACUCCGUCACUCAAGCUAGAGUGCAUGGCAUGAUCUAGGCUCACUGCAACCUCCCAGGCUCAAGUGAUUCUCAAGCCUCAGCCUCUUGAGUAGGUGGAAUUACAGACAUGCACCACCACACCCAGCUAAUUUUUUGUAUUUUUAGCAGAGAUGGGGUUUCACCAUGUUGACCACGCUGGUCUUGAAUUCCUGACCUCAAGUGAUAUGCCCGCCUUGGCCUCCCAAAGUGUUGGGAUUAUAGGCGUGGUGCCUAUAAGAGAUAUUUUAAGUUUUGAGAGUGAAAGGAGAGGAUGUAAAAUGAAUGAGAAUAAGACCCAUGGCUGAGCACAGAUGAAUACCAACUUUGAACAAGUCUGGUAGUAGGAUGGGAAGAGCCAGAGGAGCUGGGGAAACUGGGAAGGCUAAGUGUUAAUAGAAGCCAAAGAAUGUAUCAAGGAGAAAUAAGUGGCUCAAUCUAUUGAAUGGUAGGUCAAGUAAAAUGAUAAAGUAUCUGUUGGAUUUAGCAACAUGAAAGUUGCUAAUGAUCUUGGCAAAUAAAUACUAUGUGGGAAAUUGGAAACAAUGUUGGGAAAUUGGAAACAAUAGAAUGUUGAAUAGUGAUUGGAUACAACAUUUUGGAAAGUAUUAAUUGGCUGUAUCUACUAAAGUUGAAAAUGCUUAUCCUCUGCAGCCCAUUAGUUCCACUUCUAGCUUUCUAUUCUGGAAAAACUCAUUGGUAAAAAGAGUUAAGCAUAACAAUGAUGAUUUAGUGUUGUUUGUAAUGGCAGAGAAAGGGGAAACUACCUAAAUAUAUGUCAUCCGGAGAGUGGAUAAGUAAACUGUGUGGAUACAUAGUGAAAAUAAAUGAACUACAGCAAUGGAUUAACUUCAUAAUUCUGAGAAUUAUAAAAACGAAGUUCUUAGAGUUUUAAUAAUGUUGGAGAAAUAUGGAAAACAAUUCAGUUUCUUAUUUAGAGAUACAUACAUAUAUAGUAAAAGUAUAAAGAUUUCUGGCUGGGAGCAGUGGCUCAAGCCUAUAACCCCAGCAGUUUGGGAGGCUGAGGCAGGUGGAACAUGAGGUCAGGAAUUCAAGACCAGCCUGGUUUACAUAAUGAAACCCUGUCUCUACUGAAAUGUGUGUGUGUGUGUGUGUGUGUGUGUGAUAAAUUAGCCAGGCAUGGUGUCGUGUGCCUAGUCCCAGCUACUUGGGAGGCUGAGGCAGGAGAAUGACUUUAACCUGGGAGAUGGAGGUUUCAGUGAGCUGAAAUCAGGCCACUGCACUCCAGCCUGGGUGACAGAGUGAGACUCUGUCUCAAAAAAAAAAAAAUUCCUUGCUGGGAGUGGUGCCUAGUGCCUAUAAUCCCAGCACUUUGGGAGGCCAAGGCGAGUAGAUCAUCUGAGGUCAGGUGUUUGAGACCAGCCUGGCCAACAUGGUGAACCCCCCAUCACUACUAAAAAUACAAAAAUUAGCCAAACAUCAUGAUGGACACCUGUAAUCCCACCUACUCAGGAGACUGAGGCAGGAGAAUUGCUUGAACCUGGGAUGCAGAAGUUGCAGUGAGCUGAGACCAUGCCACUGCAUUCCAGCCUGGGGAACCAAGUGAGACUGUCUCAAAAAAGAAAAGAAAAAUUCCUGAGAAUGGUUGAAACCACAAUUAGAAUAGUGGCUACUGCUUGUAGUGGGAGGGAGUACCUGGAGAUGUGAUAUAGGAGAAGGGCACAGCAGCCUUCAACUAUGUUGUUAAUGCUUUAUUUCCUAAGGUGUUUGUUUGAUGAGUAGCACAACUGUUCACUGUAUUGGUCCUUACACCUUUUGGGGUAACGUUUUAUAAAAUGAUUGGUUGCUCAGGAAGUGAAGAACCACUGAGAGUCCUUUUGAGAAGCUUGACUGGAGAGAUAUGUGGGGCCAAUGCAGACCUUUUUAUUUUUUUGAGACAGAGUCUCACUCUGUUGCCCAGGCUGGAGUUCAGUGGUGUGAUCUUGGCUCACUGCAGCCUCUGCUUCCUGGUUCAAGUGAUUCUUCUGCCUCAGCCUCCCAAGUAGCUGGGAUUACAGGUGCCCGCCACCACACCCAGCUAAUUUUUGUGCUUUUAGUAGAGACAGGAUUUCACCAUGUUGGCCAGGCUAAUCUCGAACUCCUGACCACCUGUCUUGGCCUCCCAAAGUACUGGGAUUACACCAGCCUUUUCUUUUUUUUAAAAAAGAAUAUAUUUGAAUGCUGAUGGAAAGGAUUUGAAGGAUUCAUUAGAGAUGGAGAAGUUGAAGUUGUUGGAGAGAAGCAGUAACUUAAAGGUCUAGAAGAUAGCACAAUGAGGAUAGUUGUUCUUUUGAUAGGAAGAUAGAGGUUUUUUCCUUUGUCAUUGGGAGGGAAGAGAAUAGAUGUAGAUGCUGAUAGUUUGAAAGUUGAUGGUUGAUUGAUAAAAAUAUUUUUCUUUCAUUGUUUUUUUAAUUUUUAUCCUAUUUUAUUUUUGAGACCGAGUCUUACACUAUCACCUGGACUGGAGUGCAGUGGCGCAAUCUCAGUUCACUGCAAUCUCUACCUCCCAGGUUCAAGUGAUUCUCCUGCCUCAGCCUCCUGAGUAGCUGGGAUUACAGGCACCCACUACCAUGCCCAGCUAGUUUUUUUUUGUAUUUUUAGUAGAGACGGGGUUUUACUUUGUUGGCUGACUGACCAGGUAUGGUAGCUCAUGCCUCUAGUCCCAGCCACUCUGAAGGCUGUGGCAAGGAGGAUUGCUUGAGCCAAGGAAUUUAAAAUAAGCCUGGGCAACAUGGCAAGACCCCAUCUCAAAAAAAAAAGACAAAUGAUGGCAGAAAUAAGACAUUUAUCCUGAAAAUACGGUUUGGUGUAGUGUUGUUGGCACAGGUCUUCCCUCUGAGAAUGCUUUCUUACUGACAGCCCCACCAGAGUCUUGUUUGUCUUGUAGCAGUUUUCAAACCCUUCACUGAUUCCCAUGUUUUGAUAAGGUAAGAACCAUCUUCAAAUCUAUAAAUUCCAAAGAUAGAUCAAUACAUUUCUCAGAAGAGAGCAUCUUCUGUCUCAGAAGAGUCCAAAAACAUUGUGUGGAAUCAGCAUAGUUUAGGUUAAGUAGGCGCAUAAUUCAUCAAAGUGUAAAUAAGGUGAAAGAAAAAAUACUGCAUUGUAAAAAAAUAUAUUCAAAUGUGCUAUGAACAGUUAAGGCAGCUGAUGCCCAAAUAGGCAAAGUCAAAGAAGUUGGCCUGCGUUUGGAGGUGAUUUUGCAUCGAAAAGGGAAUUCACUUUCUUGUCUUUGAUGACUGAAUAACACUGUAGAACAUGUCUUCUUCCUCAAGGCCAGUGAUGCUUCAGAUACCAGGUGGUUUCAUCUUUCAAGCAUGGUCCAUAGAGAGGAUUACAUUAGGCCAGAAUUGCAAUCAGCCAAAAGAGAGCAGCAAACUGAACAGGUCACCAUCAUGGUGAUGACAACUCCCCAGUUAGGCCCUUUAGGGAUGAACCAGGGCACAAAGAAGCCAACAAAGCCCCAGAACAUGCUCAUUUCUGUGAAGCACUGUGAGGCCACAGUAUGCCAUGGUUGCUGCUCAAGCUGCCUCUCUUUGAUUUUUAAUACUCUGUUUUUUAUCUUUGUCUAUUAAGACAAGGUUAUUUGUGAAUGGAAAUUAGGAUUGCAGAGAGUCAUAGAACAUCAUGAAAUACUUUAUGAGGAAUGGGAGAGAACAUUUAUCAGAGAAAGAUAGUACAAUUUCACUUUGGGAGGCCAAGGUGGGUGGAUCAUGAUGUUAGGAGAUUGAGACCAUCCUGGUCAACAUGGUGAGACCUUGUCUUUACUAAAAUACAAAAAAUUAGCUGGGCAUGGUGGUGUACACCUGUAUCCUAGCUACUUGGGAGGCUGAGGCAGGGAAAUCACUUGAACCCAGGAGAUGGAGGUUGCAAUUAGCCGAGAUUGUGCCACUACAGCCUGGCAACAGAGCAAGACUCUGUCUCAAAGGAAAAAAAAAAGGAAGAUAGUACAAUUUCUGGGAAAAUUUGAGGGUCCAGUUGAGAGUGAUUUAUGAAAUAAAUGAGAAAUUCAGAUAAUACAUAAAGAUGUGAUGAAGAAAGCAAAAAUGUGUGGAAUUGUUAGCUUUGCUUUCGUAUUUUUCACCACAUUAUUUUAACCUGAAGGCUGUAGAAGUUUCAUGACCAACUUUGGGGCAAAGGUCCUUCUGUGCUAAAUAUUGUCUGGGUACCUGAUGUUUUGUUAGUAUUGGCUUUGAUCUCUAAGUGUACAACCUUUGUUUCCCUGACUUGUAGGAAGUGACCUCUUUAGACUCCCUCAUGGGUAGAGAAGUUCUACCAAAUGAGGUCAAGAGGGAUUUAUGUACUCCUGAGGCUUUGUGCUUUAACAUAGUGCAUUGUGGUAAAGUUAACAGUUUAAUAGCAGUUGUAAUAUACUGGCUUUGAAAAUAAUCUCUUAGCUUAAAUCUCAUUUUGACUUUUGGAGUUUAAAUCACUCAAUAAUCUUAGAGUUGAAUGGCUCUGUGUUUCAGUAGAAUAGUUAUUCGAAUACAGUAAGUGGAAAAAAAUAUUGUAACAAAUUCUGACUUCCACUUAAAUGGGGAAAGGCAGAGUACACAUUUUAUACUAAACUUUUUAUUUAUUUAUUUAUUUUUGAGACAGUCUUACUCUGUUGCACAGGCUGGAGUGCAGUGACAGUCUCAGCUCACUACAACAUUUGCCUCCCAGGUUCAAGUGAUUCUCUUGGUUCAGCCUCCUGAGUAGCUGGGACUACAGGUGCGUGUCACCCCACCCGGCUGGUUUUUGUAUUUUUACUAAAAAUGGGGUUUCACCACGUUGACCAGGUUGGUCUGGAACUCCUGGCAUCAAGUGAUACACUGCCUCAGCCUCCUGAAGUGCUGGGAUUACAGGAGUGAGCCACCACACCCAUCUGUUUAAAAAUUUUUAAAAUUAAAAUUGUAAAAAGUCAUAAAAUGUUUUAUGUAUGUAUGUAUUUAUUUAUUUGAGUCAGAGUCUUGUUCUGUCGCCGCGUAGUACAGUGGCGCGAUCUUGGCUCACUACAACCUCUGCCUCCUGGGUUCAGGCGAUUCUCGUGCCUCAGCCUCCUGAGUAGCUGAGACUACAGGAGCAUGCCACCAUGCCUGACCCAAAAUGUUUUAUAACUAAUGUAUGUGUUUAUAAAAAAUUAUAAAAUGAAUUUAAUUCUUAGGAAUACACAUUAAAAUUUUUAUUUUUACUGUGUACUAAUUUUUUUAAUGUGGCAAAAUAUAUAUAACAAAAUUUACUAUUUUAAUAAUUUUACAUAUACAAUUCAGUGGCAUUAAGUACAUUCACAAUGUUGUACAAUCAUCAACACUGUCCAUUUCCAGAACUUUUUCAUCAUCUCAAAGAGAACCUCACCACAUCUGUUCUCUUUUCUGUCUAUGAAUUUGCCUAUUCCAGAUGCCUCAUAGUAAGUGAACAAUAUGUGUCCUUUUGUAUCUGGCUUAUUUCACAUAGCAUAAUCAAGGUUCAUCUGUGUUAUAGCAUGUAUCAUAAUUUCAUUCCUUACGGCUAAAUAGUAUUCCAUUGCAUAUAUAGACCACAUUUUGCUUACCCAUGUUGAUGGAUAGCCAUCUGUUAAUGGACACUUGGGUUGUUUCCACAUUUUGGCUAUUGUGAACGAUGCUGCUGUGAACAUUGAUGUACAUAGAUUUGUUUGAGUGUCUGCUUUCAGUUCCUUUGACUGUAUUCCUAGGAGUAAAAUUGCUGGCUCAUAUGGUAAUUAUUUGUUAAAGUUUCUGAGGAACUGCCAAUCCAUAGCAGCUACACCAUUGCACAUUCCCACCAGCAGUGCACAAAGGUUCCAGUUUCUCUACAUCCUCACCAACAUGUGAUAUUUUGUGUUUUUGUUUUUGUAAUAGCCAUCCUAAUGGGUGUGGAAUGAUGUCUCAUGGUGGGUAUUUUCUCUCAUUAAACUUUACUUGUUUGUUUGUUAAUUUAUUUUUUUGAGAUGGAGUUUUGCUUUCGUUCAUGCUGAAGUGCAAUGGUGUGACCUUGGCUCACUGCAACCUCCACCUCCUGGGUUCAAGCAAUUCUCCUGCCUUAGUCUCCUGAACAACUGGGAUUACAUGUGCCUGCCACCAUACCCAGCUGACUUUUUUUUUUUUUUUGAGACGGAGUUUCGCUGUUGUUACCCAGACUGGAGUGCAAUGGCAUGAUCUCGGCUCACCGCAACCUCCGCCUUCUGGGUUCAAGCAAUUCUCCUGCCUCAGCCUCCCGAGUAGCUGGGACUACAGGCGCACACCACCAUGCCUAGCUAAUUUUUUGUAUUUUUAGUAGAGGUGGGGUUUCACCUUGUUGACCAGGAUGGUCUCAAUCUCUUGACUUCGUGAUCCACCUGCCUCGGCCUCCCAAAGUGCUGGGAUUAUAGGCAUGAGCCACCGCGCCUGGCCCCCCAGCUGACUUUUUGUAUUUUUAGUAGAGAUCGGGUUUUACCAUGUUGACCAGGCUAGUCUCAAACUCCCAACCACCUCUGCCUCCCAAAGUGCUGGGACUACAGGCAUGAGCCACUGCACCCGGCUUUUGUUUUUUGUUUUUGUUUUUGAGACAGAAUUUUGCUCUUGUUGUCCAGGCUGGAGUACGGUGGCGCGAUCUUGGCUAACUACAAUCUCUUCUGGAUUCAAGUGAUUCUCCUGCCUCAGCCUCCCGAGUAGCUGGGAUUACAGGCAUGCGCCACCAUGCCCGGCUAAUUUUAUAAUUUUAGUAAAGUCAAAGUUUCUCCAUGUUGGCCUAGCCGGUCUUGAACUCCCAACCUCAGGUGAUCGCAUGCCUUGGCCUACCAUAGUGCUGGGAUUACAGGCAUGCCCAGACUGUUUGUUUAUUUUUUAAAACUAGUCAGUCAAGUGUGAUAGUGAGAAUGGGGCAAAGAGUAGAACAAUGAGUUCAAUCUGUAACUUCACUGUGAACAAUCAGUUUACAUAACUGACUACCUUUAAACCAGCCUCUCAUUAAACAUUGUUUCAUGGGUCUCAAAAUUCUUAGACAGUUUCUUGGUCAAGUUGCUUCCAUUAAACAGUGCUGAUUUUAAAAACUAGUAAUUUAAAAUUACCAUGUGAAAAAAACUCAAAAUGAUUCACACAGCAGUCAUCUUUUCCUUCUGAAGGUUUUACCAUGCACUAUUAUCAUUAACCACUCUCUUACUGUUAAACCUAAAUGGCCAGUCAAAACAAAAACUUCUGAGAUUAUUCUUGUACCACUGAUUGAGACUGUGGUGGCAGGUAUUAGGGAUGAUAUUUAUUUAGUCUUCUGAGCUUUCUGGGCAGACUUGAUGAUGUUGCUAGGUCUAGGAGUCUUCUUGUCCACUGUUUUUUUGUUUUGUUUUGUUUUAAAUUUUAAAUUUAAAUAAAAAAAUUUUUUUGAGACAGAGUUUCAUUCUUGUUGCCCAGGUUGGAGUGCAAUGGUAUGGUCACAGCUCACUGCAACCUCUGCCUCCCAUGUUCAUGUGAUUCUCCUACCUCAGCCUCUCUAGUGGCUGGGAUUAAAGGCGCCUGCCACCAUGCCUGGCUAAUUUUGUAUUUUUAGUAGAGACGGGGUUUCACCAUGUUGGCCAGGCUGGUUUCAAACUCCUGACCUCAGGUGAUCUGCCUGCCUUGGCCUCCCAAAGUGCUGGAAUUAAGGUAUGAACCACUGGGUCUGGCCAAUUUUACAAUUUUGAGAGGGAGUCUCAGUCUGUCACCCAGGCUGGAGUGCAGUGGUGUGAUCUUGGCUCAUUUGAACCUCCACCUCCCAGGCUCAAGCAUUCCCCUCACCUCAGUUUCCCUAGUAGCUGGGACCACAGGUGCAUGCUACCACACCCAGCUAAUUUUUUGUGUUUUUGAUAGAGAUAGGGUUUCACCAUGUUGCCCAGGUUGGUCUCAAACUCCUAAGCUCAUGUGGUACUCCUGCCACGGCUUCCCAAAGUGCUGGGAUUACAGGCCUGAACCUGUUUUGAUGACACCCACAGCAACUGUCUUAUAUUAUGAACAGCAAAAAAACCCAGAGGAGGAUAGUCAGAAGCUCUCAACAUACAUUGGCUUGCUGGGGACCAUAUCAAAGAUGGCAGCGUUACCAGAUUUCAAGAAUUUAUUUCAAGCCAUCUUUUAGCUUACCAGAAUGUCAGUGGGUCUUUUUCUUCAAUUCAGCAAACUUGCAGGCAGUGUGAGCCAUGUGGCAGUUCAUUACAGGAGCAUAGCCAGCACUGAUUAGGCCUGGAUAGUUGAGGAUGAUCACCUGAGCAGUGAAGCCAGCUGCUUCCAUUGUUGGGUCAUUUUUCCUGUCACCAGCAACAUUGCCAUGAUGAACAUCUUUGACAGAUAUGUUCUUGACAUUGAAGCCCUCAUUGUCCCCAGGUAAAGGUUCAUUCAAAGCUUCAUGGUAUUUUGCAACAGAUUUGGCUUUAGUUGUAACUGUUGACUGGAGCCAAGGUGACCACUAUGCUGACACCAAUCUCCAGUUGGCCUACAGAGACAGUAAUAAUGCCACCAAUUUUGUAGAUAUUUUGGAGAGGCAGACACAAGGGCUUGUCACUUGGACAAGUUGGUGGUAGGAUGCAAUCCAGAGCUUCAAGCAGGGUGUUUGCACUGGCAUUGCCAUCUUCACAGGUGACUUUCUAUCCCCUGAACAGAGGCAUGUUAGCACUUGGCCCUGGCGUGUUGUCAUCAUUCCAGCCAGAAAUUGGCACAAAUGCUACUGUAUUGGGGUUGUAGCCAACUUUCUUAUUAUAAAUGCUGACUUCCUUAACCACUUUCUUGUAACUCUUCUGUCUGUAGGGUGGCUCAGUGGAAUCCAUUUUGUUAACUCCAACAAUUAGCUGUUUCACACCCAGUGUGUAAGUCAGAAGGAGAUACCAGCUUCAGAUUCAUUACCGGCAACAGUCAGGGCAGCACAGUCAGCCUGAGAUGUGCCUAUAAUGAUGUUUUUUAAAAAAGUCUCUGUCUUGGGGUGUCAACUAGUCACAUAAUACUUUCUGAUCUUAAGUUUCCACAGGGAGCUAUCAGCAGUGCCACUACGCUCACACUCAGCUUUCAGUUUAUCUAAGACCCAGGCAUAUUUGAAGGACUCCUUUCCCAUCUCAGUAGCCUCAUUAGCUGAUGGAUCUUUUAUCAAUCCCACCACAUUUAUAGAUCAGAUGGUCAGUAGUGGUGGACUUGCCUGAGUCUAUGCGUUCAGUGACAGUGAUAUUGGUAAGGGCCUUCCUUUCCCAUUUUGGCUUUUAGGGGUGGUUUUUUCAACUGACCUGUGUCCUUGGUGGCAAAUCUGAUGCAAAAAAGAUCAUGGUGGUUUCAUUUAUUUUUAUUUUUUUGAGACGGAGUUUUGCUCUUGUCACCCAGGCUGGAGUACAAUAGUGUGAUCUCGGUUAACUGCAGCCUCCGCCUCCCAGGUUCAAGUGAUUCUCUUGCCUUAGCCUCUUGAGUAGCUGGGAUUACAGGUGACUGCCACCACACCCAGCUAUUUUUUUUGUAUUUUUUGAGAGAUGGGGUUUCACCAUGUUGGCCAGGCUGGUCUUGAACUCUUGACCUUGUGAUGUACCCACCUUCGCCUCCCAAAGCUCUGGGAUUACAGGCGUGAGCCACCGUGCCCAACCAAGUGUGUGGCUUUUAACUUUGUUCUUUUGCAAGGUUGUUUUGACUAUUCUGGAUCUUUUGAAUUUAAGGAUCAGCUUGUGAAUUUCUGCAAAGAAGUCAGCUGAGUUUUUCUUUUUUAUCUUUUUAAGAAACGGAGUCACUCUGUCACCCAGGCUGGAGUGCAAUGGUGAGAACGCGGCUCACUGCAGCCUCAGCUUUCUGGGGUGAAGCAAUCCUACCACAGCUUCCUGAGUAGCUGGGACUAUAGGUACACACCAGUAUGGAUGGCUAUUUUUUUUUUUUAAGAUAGGGUCUCACUGUAUCCUCCACCUUCCAGGCUCGGGUGAUUGUCUCACUUCAGCUACUUGAGUAGCUGGGACUACAGGCACGCAUCACCACGCCCAGCUAAUUUUUGUAUUCUUUGUAGAGACUGAGUUUCACUGUAUUGCCCAGGGUGGUCUCGAACUUCUAGACUCGAGCAGUCCUCCCGCUUCAGCCUCCCAAAGCUAGGAUUACAGGCAUGAGCCACCAUGCCUGGAUUGGAAUUGCUGUCUUAAUUUCAUUUUUGGUUUAAUUAUUGCUGCCAUACAGAAAUACAUCUGAUUUUCUGUGUUUUAAUGCUGUAUCCUGCAACCUUGCUGAACUCACUCGUUAGCUCUAAUAGAUUAUAAGUGGAUUCUUUAGGAUUUUCUAUAUACAGGGUCAUCAUUUUACUUCUUUUUUUUUUUUAAAUAUGGAACACUUCAUGAAUUUGCAUGUCAUCCUUGCACAGGGGUCAUGCUAAUCUUCUCUGUAUUGUUCCAAUUUUAGUAUAUGUGCUGCCGAAGCGAGCACUCAUCAUUUUACUUCUUUCUUUUUAGUUUGAUGGCUUUUGUUUCUUUCUUGCCUAAUUGCCCUGGCUAGAAGAAGUCACAGGUGUUGAAUAGAAGAGGUGAAAGCAGACAUCCUUGUCCUGCUCUUAGGGGGAAAGCAUUCAGUGUCUCACCAUUAAGUAUGGUAUUAGCUGUGGGGUUUUUUGUUUUUUGCUUUUGAGAGGGAGUCUCUUUUGAGACUCCAGUCUCUGUUACCCAGGCUGGAGUGCAAUGGCGUGAUCCCAGCUUACCACAGCCUCUGCCUUCUGGGUUCAAGUGGUUCUCCUGCCUCAGCCUCCUGAGUAUCUGGGAUUAUCAGGCGCCACCACGCCUGGCUAAUUUUUGUAUUAGUGGAAAUAGGUUUCACCAUGUUGGUCAGGCUGGUCUCAAACUCCUGACCUUGUGAUUGCCCACAGGCCUUUGAAAGUUUAAGACAGGUAUGAGCCACCCUGCCCAGUUGGUGGGUUUUUUUGCAGAUGCCUUUUAUUAGUUUGGGGAAAUUCUUUUUUAUUCCUAGUUUGUGGAGUGUUUUUAUCAAGAAAGAGUGUUAAAAUUUGUCACUUUUUUUUCUGCAUCUGUUGAGACAAUCGUAUGCUUUUUUUUCCCCUUUACUGUGGUAUAUACAUUAAUUGAUUGUGGUAUAUUAUGUUAGCUGGUCUUAGGUGUUAAAGCAACCCAUGUUCCUGAGAUAAAUCUCACUUGAUCAUGGUGUAUAAUCUUUUGUAUAUAUUGCUGUAUUCAGUUUGCUAGUAUUUUGUAAUUAUAAGGUUUUAUUGAUCUAUAGUUUUCUUGUAAUGUCUUUGUCUGGUUUUGAUAAAUAUUGGCCUCAUAGAAUGAAUUGGAGUAUUUCUUCCUCCUCUUUUCAGGAGUGUUUGUGAAGGAUCAGCACUAAGUAGCUGGGAUUACAGACACGUGCCACCAUGCCCAGCUAAUUUUUUAAUUUUUAGUAGAGGUGGGGUUUCACUAUGUUGGCCAGGCUGAUCUUGAUCUCCUGACCUCAAGUCACCUACCUGCCUUGGCCUCCCAAAGUGCUGGGAUUUUAGGCAUGAGCCACUGUGCCCAGCCUUAAUUUUUGUGUUUUUAGUAAGGAUGGAGUUAUGCCAUGUUGCCCAGGCUGGUCUUGAACUCUUGACUUCAAGCAGUCUACCUGUCUUCCCCAAAGUGCUGAGAUUACAGGCAUGAGCCACCGUGCCUGGCUAAAACUGUUAGAAUUACUAUUUUUGAGACUGAGCCUUGCUCUCUGUUGCCCAGGCUGGAGUGCAGUGGUGCAAUCUUGGUUCACCACAGCCUCUGCCUCCCAGGUUCAAGAGCACAUGAACGUUAACUUAGCCUCCCAAGGUGCCUGCCACCACACCUGGCUAAUUUUUUGUAUUUUUAGUAGAAACGGGAUUUUGCCAUGUUGGCCAGGCUGGUCUCAAACUCCCAGCCUCAAGCAAUCUGCCCACCUUAGCCUCCCCAAAGUGCUGGAAUUACAGGUGUGAGCCACCACCCCUGGCCAAAACUGUUAAUUUUUUAAGGUAAAUUGUUUUAAGUGCCCGCGAAGUACUUAUGUUCAGUCAAUACAUUAAUUAUAAACAAAUAUAUACGUAUUUUUAGGUUUUUGUUUACAGUUCCUGGCUCCCAGCUUCUGAACCCUUGCAAUUUCCUAAAUGAUAGAGCAGUAAGAAUAUCUUUUGUUAAAAUGUUUGGCCUUUUGUCCUUGGUGCCUGAAACAACUGUGAACAGUUCUGGAGGGAUAAUGGUGAAAGGCACCGUUUUGUUAUUUUUAACAAGCCCCUUUCAACCACACCUGAGCUUACCUUAAUGAGGUGAUUUUUGGAAAGUCCCUUGGUAACCACAAGAGGAAUGGUUGCCAGGGGAACCAACCUAAUGCUGGUAGGGUUGGAACUCAUAGCCCUACUCCCCACCUCUUGGGGGAGGGGUUGAAGGUUGAAUUGAUCACCAAUGGCCAGUGAUUUAAUCAGUCAUGCCUAUGUAAUGAAGCCUUCUUAAAAAGUCAGAAGGGCCAGCACAGUGGCUCAGGCCUGUAAUCCCAGUAGUUUGGGAGGCUGAGGCGGGCAGAUCACCUGAGGUAGAGAGUUUGGGACCAACAUGGGGAAACCCUGUCUCUAACUGAAAAUACAAAAUUAGCUGGAUGUGGUGGCACAUGCCUGUAAUCCCAGCUACUCAGGAGGCUGAGGCAGGUGAAUUGCUUGAACCUAGGAGGUGGAGGUUAUGGUGAGCUGAGAUCAUGCCAUUGCACUCAAGCCUGGGUAAGGAGCGGGGUAGGGGGAGGGGGGAAAUAAAGGCGGGCGCUGUAGAUUACGCCUGUGAUCCCAGCACUUUGGGAGGCCAAGGUGGGCAGAUCACAAGAAAGUUAACUCGCCUGUCCUACAAAGACUGCUGCCAUUCGUGCUGAGAAUAAUAAAGCUCUGUUUUUUUUGUUUUUUUCUGGGAAAAAAAGUAUAGUAUUGGGGGAGGCUUGGUUGCUCUUAUGCCUGUAAUCCCAGCACUUUGGAAGGCCAAGGUGGGAGGAUUGCUUGAGGUCAGGAGUGCUAGACUGGCCUGGCCAACAUGGCAAAAACCUGUCUCUACUAAAAAUACAAAAUUUAGUCAGGUGUAUUGGCUUGCAUCUGUAAUCCCAGCUACUCAGGAGGCUGAGGCAGGAGAAUUGCCUUGAACUCAGUAGAUGUAGGUUGCAGCGAGCUUGGAGAUUGCACCACCGCACCUCCAGCCUGGGUGAUAGAGCAAGUCUCUGUUUCAGGAAAAAGCCCAAGAAUGUAAUACUGGUUUUGUUACUAACUGUAAUUUUAUAACUAUAGUUUUUGAUUAACUUUAAUUUUCUGAUUUGAUUUAUGAAUUAUAGGCUAGAAAUACUCCAUACAUAUAACUUGAUUGUUUUCUUCUGGGCCCUAAUGGGACUUUUUUUUUUUUUUUUUUAAAACAAAACCAGGUCCAAUAAUUUAAUUUCUCCAGGGAAGAGUAUUGUACAGUCCCUGGUAAUCCCUAGUGCCAGAGUUUGACAGCCUGUACUACCAUUGUCUAUUUAACCAAAAUCUUUGAUGCUGUAAAUUGACUGUAUUUCUCUUGGUUUGUUCUGGUAAAAAUAAGACAAACUGUCAUGAUUAUAGAGAUGAGACUUCCAUUUUUUUCCCCUACUCCAAAAACUGUCUUUUUCAAUACAAUUUCAGUUACUGCUACCCAAGUUAAUUUUAGAUUUUAUCACUGAAAACCUGGGUUUUGCCAUUUAUUGAGGUGUUAUUUGAAAUAUAAAUAUAUUUAGAGCAGAAUU